UACAGAGGGUGCGAGCGUUGUCCGGAAUCACUGGGCGUAAAGGGCGCGUAGGCGGCAUGUUAGGUGAGGUGUGAAAUCCCCCGGCUCAACCGAGGAAUUGCGCUUCAAACCGGCGUGCUUGAGGAAGAUAGAGGUGGGCGGAACUGAUGGUGGAGCGGUGAAAUGCGUUGAUAUCAGGAGGAACACCAAUUGCGAAGGCAGCUCGCUGGGACGUUACUGACGCUGAGACGCGAAAGCGUGGGGAGCAAACAGG
rnacentral:rRNA from 1 species